GUACACUCCUGCGGGAGGCAGCAGUGGGGAAUAUUGGACAAUGGGCGCAAGCCUGAUCCAGCCAUGCCGCGUGAGUGAUGAAGGCCCUAGGGUUGUAAAGCUCUUUCACCGGUGAAGAUAAUGACGGUAACCGGAGAAGAAGCCCCGGCUAACUUCGUGCCAGCAGCCGCGGUAAUACGAAGGGGGCUAGCGUUGUUCGGAUUUACUGGGCGUAAAGCGCACGUAGGCGGACUAUUAAGUCAGGGGUGAAAUCCCGGGGCUCAACCCCGGAACUGCCUUUGAUACUGGUAGUCUUGAGUUCGAGAGAGGUGAGUGGAAUUCCGAGUGUAGAGGUGAAAUUCGUAGAUAUUCGGAGGAACACCAGUGGCGAAGGCGGCUCACUGGCUCGAUACUGACGCUGAGGUGCGAAAGCGUGGGGAGCAGACAGGAUUAGAUACCCUAGUAGUCCCAU
rnacentral:rRNA from 1 species